CCAUAUAUUCCAAUUAGAACU
rnacentral:miRNA from 1 species